rnacentral:rRNA from 1 species
GAUGAACGCUGGCGGCGUGCCUAAUACAUGCAAGUCGAGCGAACGGACGAGAAGCUUGCUUCUCUGAUGUUAGCGGCGGACGGGUGAGUAACACGUGGAUAACCUACCUAUAAGACUGGGAUAACUUCGUGAAACCGUAGCUAAUACCGGAUAAUAUUUUGAACCGCAUGGUUCAAAAGUGAAAGACGGUCUUGCUGUCACUUAUAGAUGGAUCCGCGCUGCAUUAGCUAGUUGGUAAGGUAACGGCUUACCAAGGCAACGAUGCAUAGCCGACCUGAGAGGGUGAUCGGCCACACUGGAACUGAGACACGGUCCAGACUCCUACGGGAGGCAGCAGUAGGGAAUCUUCCGCAAUGGGCGAAAGCCUGACGGAGCAACGCCGCGUGAGUGAUGAAGGUCUUCGGAUCGUAAAACUCUGUUAUUAGGGAAGAACAUAUGUGUAAGUAACUGUGCACAUCUUGACGGUACCUAAUCAGAAAGCCACGGCUAACUACGUG